UUGGUUUUGGCGGCAGAAUGGCAAGCUCAAAGAGGUACAAAGAGGAGCUUCGCUCAAACAACUCCACAAAGAUGUGGAUCGUUUAUUUUUGGGGGCUUGUGCUAUUGUAAGCUAUCUACAAAUGGGACAUUGCUUUCCACUAUUUUUAUGACCAAUGAGCUCAAGACAUCGACUUUUAUCUGGAGUUCAGGACCUGUCAUUGCACUGUACUCUGCCUCUCAAGCUUAUGCAGACCAACUCGAGCUAAAGGAAGCCAUCAUCUGGUGCUGUGUACAGCAAGCACAUGCUUCGGGCAAGGAGGGAGCCAGCACCAUAUCUACAUCAGCAAGAACAUCGGUGCUCAAAAUAAACAUUUUCUUUGCAAA